GGCAAGAUGGCCGAGCGGUCUAAGGCGCUACGUUCAGGACUUCCUGAAUAUCAUCAUGGUUCCAUGAUUCGUAGUCCGAAAGGGCGUGGGUUCGAAUCCCACUCUUGUCA
rnacentral:tRNA from 1 species